ensembl:lncRNA
AUGUUAACAGUAAAGUCUAUUUUGUCUCAGAUUCAACCAAACAACUGGUUUGUCACGAUCGAUCUGAAGGAUGCAUAUUUUCAUAUUCAGAUCAUCAAGAGACACAGGAAGUUCCUCAGAUUCGCUUUAGAGGGCAAAGUGUAUCAAUACCGCGUUCUUCCCUUUGGCUUAGCCCUGGCUCCCCGAACUUUUUCGAAAUGCAUGGACGCAGCUCUGGCCCCGUUGCGGCUCCAGGGCGUUCGUGUGUUGAAUUACUUAGACGAUUGGCUGGUGUUAGCACAAUCGCAGACUCAAGCACACUCUCACCGGGAUCUUGUGCUGAAUCAUCUAAACAGCCUGGGCUUAUGCACGAAUUUCCAGAAGAGUGUUUUAAUUCCCUCUCAACGGAUAACCUUUCUGGGAAUAGACUUGGACUCUCGCGCAAUAACAGCAAGACUAUCUCUCCCGCGCGCUCAGUCUCUCGCGUCAUGCGUGCGUCAAUUCAAAGUAGGUCGCACAGUGAUGGUGAGUUUGUGCCUCAGACUUUUAGGUCUAAUGGCAGCGGCAUCCCCUGUAAUCCGUCUGGGCUUACUUCAUAUGCGCCCAUUUCAGUGGUGGACGAAAAGCCGGAACAUUUCACCCCGUUGUCUUCCGCAUUGGACGAUUUCGGUGACACGGAGGUGUGUUAUGUCAAUAAGACAAUGGAUGUCAACCGAAUUCCUUCUAGCUGGAGUUUGGCUGGGGGUUUGUGCUUCCCGAGAGACUGUCACGACGGACGCGUCUUUGACCGGUUGGGGAGCUGUUUGUCAAGGGCGCCCAGCUCACGGAGUAUGGACGGCGACACAACGCUGCUGGCAUAUAAACAGGUUGGAAUUACUGGCAGUUUUUCUAGCUCUCCAGUAUUUCUUGAAUCUGCUGAUCGGCCGUCCCUUUGAACUUCGGAGCGGAUUUGCUAUCCAGACAGAAUGGAGGUUGCACCCCCAAACGGUGAGCCUUUUAUGGCAAAUAUUUGGAGAAGCAAGAGUGGACUUAUUCGCGUCGAGCAUGACUACGUAUUGCCCGCUGUGGUUCUCCCUACGCCCUCCAUCGCCCCUAAGGCUUGGACGCGUUAGCCCACAAUUGGCCCAGAACCAGCUUGUAUGCUUUUCCCCUGAUUCGUCUAAUUCCAGCGGUGUUAUCCAGGAUACGGCUGGACAGAGUGGAGCAUCUUCUGCUGGUGGCUCCGUGGUGGCCCACACAGCCGUGGUUUGUGGAUCUGGUCAGUCUGGUAGCGGGCUCUCCAUGGGAGAUUCCCCUCAGACAGGACUUACUAUCGCAAGCACAGGGAAUGAUUUGGCACCCAAGGCCAGAUCUAUGGAAGCUGUGGGCGUGGCCUCUGAGCGGAGUGAGUUAAUAUGA